rnacentral:rRNA from 1 species
CAAUAGCGUAUAUUAAAGCUGUUGCAGUUAAAAAGCUCGUAGUUGGAUUUCUGGUGAGAUGGAUUAUGUCUAGGUCGAAAGAUCUUGUUCAUGGUUCGUUUUGCCCUUCUUGUUAGGAACCCGCUGAGAUUCGCGUCUUGUCGGUGGAAUGGCAUCGUUUACUGUGAAAAAAUUAGAGUGUUCAAAGCAGGCAUCGCCGUUGAAUACAUUAGCAUGGAAUAAUAAGAUAAGACUUUGGUGGUCUAUUUUGUUGGUUUGCACGCCAAAGUAAUGAUUAAUAGGGAUAGUUGGGGGUAUUCGUAUUCUAUUGCUAGAGGUGAAAUUCUUAAAUUUAUGGAAGACGAGCUACUGCGAAAGCAUUUACCAAGGAUGUUUUCAUUAA